rnacentral:lncRNA from 1 species
AUGCCUACAGCCAAUCAAACGGAGCUCGCCGGCAUCCAAGUGGAGCUUGGCCGGCUCCGUCAACUCAUCAGCCUCCAGGAGUUCCAGCUGGGCGCCCUAUCUUCCCUGUAUCUCCAGGAGGAGGUUUCUGUCCAGUCAGCGGCUCCCUCGUCUCCAGGCCAAAGGACCGAACCCAGAGCCCAUCCAACAGAGCUCGCCGGCCACCGAGCUGAGCUGGUCCGGCUCUGUCAGAUCUUCAGUCUCCAGGAGCACCAGGUGGACAAUCUAGUCUCCCUGCGUUACCGGUUUCUGUCAGCACCAGGUCCCGCGCCACCAGUCCAGUCAGCGCCUGGUCCCGCGCCACCAGUCCAGUCAAUGCCCGGUCCUACGCCACCAGUCCAGUCAGCGCCCGGUCCUGUGCCACCAGUUCAGUUAGCGCCAGUUCCAGCGGUGGUCCAGGAGGCUCCACCCACGGGACAGCUGGUCCAAGAGGCUCCGCCCCCGGGCCAGCCGGUCCAGGAGGCUCCGCCCCCGGGCCAGCCGGUCCAGGAGGCUCCGCCCCUGGGCCAGCCUGUCCAGAUGUCAGAGCCCAGUCCGGCGGCACCAGCCAAGGAAGCGGUCCCGUCUGCAGCGGCUCUGCUUCCACUCCAGAAGUCGACGGUCCAGAAGUCAAUGGUCCAGAAGUCGGCGGUCCAGAAGUUGGCGGUCCAAAAGUCAGCGGAGCAGAAGUCGGCGGUCCAAAAGUCGAUGCCUCCUCGUGUCCUGAAAUCGACGCCUCCUCGUGUCCUGAAGACGACACCUCCUCGUGUCCAGAAGUCGACGCCUCCUCAUGUCCUGAAGUCGGUGCCUCCUCGUGUCCAGAAGUCAAUGCUUCCAGUCCAGAGGUCGACGCCUCCAGUCCAAAGGUUGAUAUCUCCAGUCCAGAGGUCGACGCCUCCAGUCCAGAAGUCGACACCUCUUCCAGUCCAGAGGUCGACGCCUCUUCCAGUCCAGAGGUCGACGCCUCUUCCAGUCCAGGGUUCGACGCCUCCUCCAGUCCAGAGGUCUGAUCCUCUCCUCCACCUGUGUUGUUCUCUUCUCCACCUGUCUGAUCCUCUUUUCCUCCACCUGUCUGAUCCUCUCCUCCACCUGUCUGAUCCUCUCCUCCACCUGUCUGGUUCUCUCCUCCACCUGUCUUGUUCUCUCCUCCAGCUGUCUGAUCCUCUUCUCCUCCACCUGUAUGCUUCUCUCCUCCACCAUACUGAUCCUCUUCUCCUCCACCUGUCUGAUCCUCUUCUCCACCUGUCUUGUUCUCUCCUUCACUUGUCUGAUCCUCUAUUCCACCUGUCUUGUUCUCUCCUCCAGCUGUCUGAUCCUCUUCUCCUCCACCUGUAUGCUUCUCUCCUCCACCAUACUGAUUCUCUUCUCCUCCACCAGUCUGAUUCUCUCCUCCACCUGUCUGAUCCUCUUCUCCACCUGUCUGAUCCUGUCCUCCACCAGUCUAGUUCUCUUCUCCAUCUGUCUGAUCAUCUCCUCCACCUGUCUUGUUCUCUCCUGCACCUGUCUGAUCCUGUCCUCCACCUGUCAGAACAUCUCCUCCACCAGUCUAGUUCUCUUCUCCAUCUGUCUGAUCAUCUCCUCCACCUGUCUUGUUCUCUCCUGCACCUGUCUGAUCCUGUCCUCCACCUGUCAGAACAUCUCCUCCACCAGUCUAGUUCUCUUCUCCAUCUGUCUGAUCAUCUCCUCCACCUGUCUUGUUCUCUCCUGCACCUGUCUGAUCCUGUCCUCCACCUGUCUGGUUCUCUCCUCCACCUGUCUUGUUCUCUCCUGCACCUGUCUGAUCCUGUCCUCUACCAGUCUAGUUCUCUUCUCCAUCUGUCUGAUCAUCUCCUCCACCUGUCUUGUUCUCUCCUGCACCUGUCUGAUCCUCUCCUCCACCUGUCUGGUUCUCUCCUCCACCUGUCUUGCUGUCUGCUCCACCUGUCUGCUUCACCUGUCUGA